rnacentral:rRNA from 1 species
CACGUAGGGGGCGAGCGUUGUCCGGAUUUAUUGGGCGUAAAGAGCUCGUAGGCGGCUCGGUAAGUCAGGUGUGAAACCUCCAGGCUCAACCUGGAGACGCCACCUGAUACUGCCGUGGCUAGAGUCCGGUAGAGGAGCGUAGAAUUCCUGGUGUAGCGGUGAAAUGCGCAGAUAUCAGGAGGAAUACCAGCGGCGAAGGCGGGUCUCUGGGCCGAUACUGACGCUGAGGAGCGAAAGCGUGGGGAGCGAACAGG